AGAAUCAACGCUGGCGGCGUGCCUAACACAUGCAAGUCGAACGCGAAAACCCCGCAAGGGGUUAGUAGAGUGGCAAACGGGUGAGUAACGCGUGGGCGAUCCACCUUCGAGUGGGGGAUAACCUUCCGAAAGGAGGGCUAAUACCGCAUGACAUCCCGUGUUUGGAUACAUGGACAUCAAAGCCGGGGUCGCAAGACCUGGCGCUUGAAGAGGAGCCCGCGUCCGAUUAGCUAGUUGGUGAGGUAACGGCUCACCAAGGCUCCGAUCGGUA
rnacentral:rRNA from 1 species